AUAAACCGUCUGAAGGACUGCCUUAAAAAUAACCUCGCCUCCUGCUCCUUGCCCAGCCCCACUCAAUGGCCAUCCCGGCUGCAUCACUCAAAAGUACAUCUGGAUUCACAGACCUGAACCCUUUGAUCCUACCAAGGCUGCCUCUGCAACUGGGGCUGUGCAGGCUCCCAUCGAUCUGAAUGAGAAAGGCUUUGUUGCAGUGCGUCCUCACCCUGAACUCUGGCUUCUACUUCCGUACACAUUUGUAAUUCCCUGGCCCUGGGCUGGAGAGCACAAGCCUCUGGCUCACCAGAACAGCCUGAUACAGCUGGAGCAAUGGAUCCGGAGGCACAGCCAUCCUUCUUGAAUCGCCAUCUCACAGCUGGCCAGCUUUCUUCUGGGCAACGAGGAGCAAGAUGGAGCUCAACAUUGCACUACCUUCAUCUGGAGCCCCAGAUUGACCUCAUUCGAUUCAAUAGCAAUUCUGUUCUUACUUUAACAGCAGCUGGAUUGAGCAUUUAUAAGAACCUGCCUUUCAUUUAGAGUUGAGAGAGCGACAGAAAUCCCUUGGCCUGGGCUGCUCAUCAGCCCAAGCCUAAGUCUUAGGGUGGAAACACAGGAGAUAUGGAUGAGUGGAACGUAACACUGUACAGCAAAAAGGAGAAACGAGCAGCAAGUAUAGUAGGGCAAACCCUUCAUCUUACAGAAUAAUGAAAAAGCUGUAGGAUCUUUGCAGCCUAUCUUGUUAUCAUCAGCCACUGUGCUCCAAAUCAAACACGUCGGCCUGCAGACCACAGCUAGUCAACUGCAGGCAACAGAGCAAGUUGCAAAAACAGUGUGCAGGUUACUGAAGUUUUCACAUAUAUUUUAAUACUUGUGCAAGGCAGAAGGAGGUAUUUUAUACCCAGAUGAAGAGAACAAGCACAUGCUUGCAUGCUCAGACCCAAAAGGCAAUCCUUCCUCCACAGCAUGUAACCCUGGAGAGGCCAAUGGCACAGUCAGCCUGGUUGGGUAGCCAGCCCGUCUGGGAAUUUGGUGUUUGAAUACCAGAACUGUCUGCUCUCUGAAAGGCAGGGUGUGACCAGGGCUUUCACUCUACUUAGGUUUUAAAAUAAAAUUUCUUUAGAACGGCAAAAAUUCACACAGACAGCAAGUUGGAGCAGAACUUUUGAAAGUGAUCCAGUUCCUACAAAUUAGUGGCAGAACUGCUGAGGGGU
ensembl:lncRNA